UACAGAGGUCUCAAGCGUUGUUCGGAUUUAUUGGGCGUAAAGAGCGUGUAGGCGGCUUUGCAAGUCCGUUGUGAAAACUCGAGGCUCAACCUCGAGACGCCGGUGGAAACUGCAAAGCUAGAGUCCGGAAGAGGAGAGUGGAAUUCCUGGUGUAGUGGUGAAAUGCGCAGAUAUCAGGAAGAACACCCGCGGCGAAGGCGGCUCUCUGGGACGGUACUGACGCUGAGACGCGAAAGCGUGGGGAGCGAACAGG
rnacentral:rRNA from 1 species